AGCAGCAGCCACGGGAAUACAGAGGGUGCGAGCGUUAAUCGGAUUUACUGGGCGUAAAGCGUGCGUAGGCGGCUAAUUGAGUCGGAUGUGAAAUCCCCGAGCUUAACUUGGGAAUUGCAUUCGAUACUGGUUAGCUAGAGUGUGGGAGAGGAUGGUAGAAUUCCAGGUGUAGCGGUGAAAUGCGUAGAGAUCUGGAGGAAUACCGAUGGCGAAGGCAGCCAUCUGGCCUAACACUGACGCUGAGGUACGAAAGCAUGGGGAGCAAACAGGAUUAGAUACCCCGGUAGUCCCUGUCUCUUAUAC
rnacentral:rRNA from 1 species